rnacentral:lncRNA from 1 species
GCUGAGCGAAGGCUGCGGCAGAGUCUAUCGUUAUCCCGACCCGGUGAGACGGUGGAGGCAGUGAGUGUGUAGAAGUCGCUAGCAAGGUGACAGUUGAUGAGAAGAUAUUUCUACGGAGAAGUCACGGUGGAUUUGGCAAGGGAAAAUGAUGCUGGACCAAGCCGGUCCUGGUGCAGCUGGUUGCAGUGCUGCAUGUGUGGAAGAGAUGUGCCAGGUAAGAGUGUUUGUAGAGGUAGUGGCUUUUGUGUGGUUACCUGGUUUAGAGUGUUCAUCUAGGGGGGAAGAGCACAGCCUGCACACUUGUGGGCUGUGCUCUUCCCCCCUAGGAAUGGGGCUGUUGGCUGGGUUUUGCACUAUCUCAGAGAGAUUAUUUUUUUUUUGGGUGGGAGGGUGGGUGCUGGUCAGUAACGGAUUUUAUUCUGUGGUUGGAGUGUGGCAGCCCUGGGAGGGGCUGAGGGGGGCCCUCCUGCCUGGUGGGAGAGCCCCCUCUGGCCUGUCUGGGGCUCCCCCUGAGUGGGGGGGGAAGUAUGGGGGAGCCCCUCUGGCCUGUCUGGGGCUCCCCCUGAGUGGGGGGAGAGACCUCCCUGGUAAAGGGGUCUCUUCUCUGGAUCCUGGAGUGGCUCCUGUGUGGUGA